ensembl:lncRNA
GUAGGUUGAGAUUUAUUAUUCAUAUUCAGAGUUAUUUUCAUCUCCUGACAUUUGGCUUCUAAAUUAAUUACUAGAAAAAUGGUUUACUGUACUGCACACACACACACACACACACACACACACACACACACACACUUUAUUCCUGCCUGUUUCCUUCUCUCUUCCCGAUUGGACAGAACUGUAUAAAUGAAUAAAGAGAAGAAGAGCAGAGUUCCUCUGGAGGAGAUAAAUGACAGUUUAAUGUGAGCAGCAGUCCACUGUGAUUGUGCGUUAGCUUAGCUUAGCACCAGGGUUGGUUUUAAGGUAAGGGUUAGCUAAGCUUAGAGCCAGGGUAUAGGGUUAGCUUAGCUGAGCGUAUAGCCAGUGUUUUGAUUCUCUUUAACAGCGCUUUUCUACACACAUUCACGCUCAUGCACACACAACGUACUACGCCAGUACUUGACUUUUGACCUCCACUGCAGCACAAUGGAAACCAAGGCCCAAAUUCUGCUGCAGUCUCUUUACAUUUUAUUCCACCUCUGUUUUUGUACAAGUUCCAGUGCUAACGGAUGUGUGUGUGUGAGCUAAUGAUGAUGGAGGCGUGUUCGUGUGUAAGCGAGCGGUAAUGACACCACAACACAGAGCUCUGGUUUCCCUCAGAAACAGGAAAUCAUGACUGCGACAGGAAGCAGAGAAACCGAGCAAUGAGUCUUUAUUAAAGUGACAUCGAUGUGGGAGGUUCCAGUGUGUUGGUGUGCGCUCAGUCGGCCGUUGUGUUAGAACUCUUGUGACAUCAUAGCAAACAAGAAUAUUACUGCUACAAACAUGACAUAAUGCUAAGUGGCUCCCCCUGGAGGUCAGGGUCCGAGCUUUUGGGCUGUGUCCUACUCUUCUGAAACAAACUCUCUCCAAACAGGACAAACACCCUUUCCAACGUAUUAUCAAUUUCAUGACAUCCGAGAUCUGGAACUAAGCGAAGUAUGGAAAUAGUCUUUGUUCCUCCAGCGGUUUCCCUCCUUUCAUGCAGACUGCUGCCCCCUGCUGGCCCACACGCGCUUUCCUUACUGUUAGUGGUGCAUUCAGGUGCAACCAGCAAUGUGUGUGUUCUUCGAUGGCUGUUUGGAGGAACUUCUGGAGCCCUAAAUGACCUGGAGACACGACCUUUAGCUCCCGAUGCUAAACAACAUGGAGUUGCUGUGACAUGACAGCGCGUUGAAGCUGCUCUCUGAUCACAGGAAUCAGGAAACAUUUAUUUACCAAAAUAUGCCAAACAUACAAUGAAUUUGUCUUGGCGGUUAGUGCGCGACAGUAGACAGACAAGACAACAGUGCACACGUAAUAAAAUAAAGUCAAAUGAAAUGCUAAUGCAAUGGGUUAGAUAAACGACACCUAGUGUUUUAAUAACUGCUGUUUGGAUAAAAAGCUGCCUGUGCUGAAAUUGAUGCAGACGUCUGUGUGUUUGUCUCGCAGUAACGAGCAGCUUGCCCCUAAAAAACGCGCAGUAUGCACAAUAUAUGAAAAUGAGUGCGGUCAUUUUUGGUGCAAUGUUCAUUUUACACAUAAAUAAACGUGUUACGGCGGCAAAUCACUAUCAACAUUCGAGAGCGGAAACCAGCUUCCAGAUGGAGGCGAUCUUUUAAUAAAUCUAUUUUCAAUGUAUUUCUUCAUACGUGGCAGUGAUGUAGUGCUCACUUAUACAAUAAGGAUAUGUGAUGGGUUUUGAACAUUUUCAGCAAUAUGUUGUAAGAAUGAAUGUGUGACGAAUCAGGUGACCGAGGCACAAAACAUCUGCCGCUGCGGAGGAAACACACACGCACGCGUAGGUUCAACAACCAGCAGCACGUAGCGCCACAGGGAGCCCGACGCGUCAGUCUGUGGAUGUCUUACCAACUUGAACUAUGGCGGAGCCUGAGCUCAUUAUUUACACUUUACAAUUAUCGAACCCUAUUGACAGUUAGCAAGAUGUUCACAGAUUCCGACAUCAUUUUACCGAGCAAGUUCACGUUCCGCGAGCGAGCAAAUAUCGCGCGAGACAGACUUUUGCUCGCGGAUGUUUGAUUGACGCGCGCGCAUCAACCUGAUUUCUGCUCUGGAAUUUUGACAGUGAUUUGCUUCCAUAGUACGUCACCAACAUUUGGUCGAUCGCGCGGUCCUCUUGUCUGCUUUCGUUGUCCAAAGAGGAGGCGGGGCUUAGACAGCGCCUCCGCGUGCAGGGCGGACACGCCUUUCUACCUGGAUAAAAUCAUGAACAGGAAAUAAACUGCCAGCUGACUAGUGGGCGGAGUCAAAUAAGCAUGAGCAGUUGAAUAAAAUCAACAACAUGUUAUUAUUUCUCUUUGUACAGAUUCCAACGUCCUCUCUCCCUCUGAGGAUUCUGCUCCAGAGUCCACACCUCCGCCUCUAAUGGCCCCUCCCCCUACCUGUCCCACCUCCACACAUCCACACACACCUCCAAUGGCCCCUCCCCCUACCCGUCCCACCUCCACACAUCCACACACACCUCCAAUGGCCCCUCCCCCUACCCGUCCCACCUCCACACAUCCACACACACCUCCAAUGGCCCCUCCCCCUACCCGUCCCACCUCCACACAUCCACACACACCUCCAAUAGCCC